rnacentral:rRNA from 1 species
UACGUAGGGCGCGAGCGUUGUCCGGAUUUAUUGGGCGUAAAGAGCUCGUAGGCGGCUUGUCGCGUCGAAUGUGAAAUCUCAGGGCUCAACUCUGACAUUGCAUUCGAUACGGGCAGGCUAGAGUUCGGUAGGGGAGACUGGAAUUCCUGGUGUAGCGGUGGAAUGCGCAGAUAUCAGGAGGAACACCGGUGGCGAAGGCGGGUCUCUGGGCAGUAACUGACGCUGAGGAGCGAAAGCGUGGGGAGCGAACAGG